GUCGUCAGUGGCCGGCGCCGGGCAGCGCGGAGGCUGCGAGCAUGGACCCCGGGCGCCCUCCCCACCGCGGGGGUCACGGCGAGGGGCUCAUGCCGGCGAGGGAAGGGAUGGUUCCGUUUGGAACCUGUUGGUCCCAUUUCUCGGGAGGACCCCCGCGAGGAGACCUCCCCAGCCUCCAGCGCUGCGAGCGUGGGAGCCAUGGCCAAGAAACAAACAACAACAAAAAAAGAGUUCAAGACGUGGCACCCAUCAGCUGAUGAACGGAUAACCACAAUGCCGUGUGUUCGUGCCACGGAAGAGUAUUUACCCGUAAAAACGAAUGAAGUUCUACUGGCGCCUGUUACUACGUGGAUGGACCCCGAAAACCCCGUGCCGUUUAUACGAAAUCUCCGGAAGAGCCAAAUCCAUAGAGACAGGAAGUGGAUUCGAGUUGACGGCGCCUGGGUCGCUCGGUGGGUUGAGCGUCCGACUUCGGCUCAGGCCACGAUCUUGCGGUUCACGAGUUCGAGCCCCACAUCAAGCGCAGAGCCCGCUUUGGAUCCUCUGUCCCCCUCUCUCUGCCCCUCCCCCACCCGCUGGCGCGCGCGCGCGCGCGCUCUCUCUCUCUCUCUCUCUCAAAAAUAAAUAAACGUUUAAAAAAGAGAGAGAGUUGAUUAGCGGUUGCCAGGGCUGGGGAAAGGGGAAAAUGGGGAGUGACUGAUAAAUGGGUAUGGGGUGUCCUUUUGGGGUGACGGAAAAGUUCUGGAAGCAGGUAGUGGUGAAUGCACCAAGUGUCGCUGAAUUGUGCGCUUGCAAAUGGUUCAGACGGUAAAAUGUUAGUGCGUUUUUAUCGCAAUCCAAAAGCAAUGCGUUCGAGGUGUAGAGAUACACAGACCAUAAGGGACAAGGGGCGCCGGUGAAUUGGCUGGAGAGAUGGCCCGUCAGUUUCCUGCAGUGGCUGUCACCAAUUAGCACCCCCUGGGGGCUUACACCAGCACGGCUUUGUCCUCUCACAGUUCUGGAAGCCGAGAAAUUCCCAGAUGGGUCUCUGAGCCAAAACCAAGGGGGCGGCGGGACCGUGUCCCCGCCAGAGGCUCGAGGGGAGGAGAAUCCGUUCCUUGCCUCUUCCGGCUUCUGGAGGCUUCCGGGGUUCUUUGGUUUGUGGCCCCAUCACCCCGAUCUUGAAGGCUGGCAUCGGCAAAUCUCUCCGCCCCCCCCCGGUCUCCGCUUGCCCACCUCCUCCGUGUGUUGUCUAAGCUCCCUCUGCUUGUCUCUUACAAGGAGGUCGUGACUGCAUUUAGGGUUCACUUGGAUCAUCCAGGGUGAUCUCCCCGUCUCAAGACCCUUUGUUUGUUUGUUUAUCUAUUUUUGGGAGAGUGCAAGCAGGGGAGGGACAGAGAGAGGGGGAGACAGAGAACCCCAAGCAGGCUCUGCACCGUCAGCAUGGAGCCCGACGUGGGGCUCAACCUCGCGAUCCCGCAAGAUCAUGACCCGAGCCGAAGUCAGAUGCUUAACCGGCUGAGCCCCUCCAGGCGGCCUCCCUGCCUCCCAGACCUUUUACUGGGUCACACGGGCAAAAUCCUUCUCUGUCCUAUAAGGUGACAUUCACGGAGUGGGGACGCAGCUCUCUUUGGGGGGCAGUAUUCAGCCUACCAGGAAUGGCCACCAACCAUCCCUCGACUCUCUUUAUGCCCACGCCCCACGGACCAAGAGGCGGCAUCCGCUUGCGUUCCCCCGCGGCAAUCUUGUGACCGGCUUUGACCGACAGAAGGUAGUCGAAAGUGAUGCGAGCCAUUGUGGUGGCUUCUACAGUGGCUCCCUUGCAACUUGGCCGCCGCCACGCCGGAGAGAGGUCGGUCUGGGCCACCCCGGGGAGGAGGGGGGCCGCUGGAAGAGAGACGGAGACCUUUGGAGACAGAGAGACGGGGAGAGACAGCAGCGCAGGGACACGAGGCCAAGGAAUCGUCAAGAAAGUCACGGGCUCCCGGCCACAGGCCCGGUGAGGCUUUGAGCCACAGGCGUCGGUUACCUCAGACGCCAGCCCCGCGGGGCCUGCAGAUAACUGGGACCCCAGCUGACACCCGGCCGCCGUCCGGGGACAGGCCCCGAGCCAAGACCACCCAGGUCAAGCCACAGAGCCCACGAGAACUCACCCGUUGCUUCAAGCCAAUGCGGGAACUGAGGCACCGAGAGAGGAAAUCUUUGCGCUCUUGCUGGCUUCCGUGACAGUUCAUGUAGAUCCCUCGCGAGCUGACUCCCGUGGGACUCGCAGCAUCAUCACGUCCCUCGUCACAUCCACAUCCCAAGCCCUGGAUGUGCCGCUCUUUGAAGCUGAGAUCUUAACUUCCUGCCGCCAGGCUCGCCCAUUUCCUUGCCGGGCAGAAUUUCAAAGUUUUAUGGCAACUUGUACAGAAAUCACAGAGAAGAGACAACGACCGGUGCUGAUGAGCUAGGAGUAGAGAAAGGGGAGUGGGUAACAGGUCUGGGAUGUUGGGGUGAUGCACAACAGGACGAUAGGACGCUAAAAACCUGUGGGAAGCAGGGUGUUAUGGGGGUUGCAGGGUGAUCCUCAGGGUCCCAAGAAGUGGGCAGCACUCCGCACACCCCAAGUGUGUCCUUUGGGCAGGAAACAACGGUAAGAAAAUGCAGAUGGCCUACCAACAGAUGGGUGGCCUCCAAGGUUAAAAAUGCCCACCCAGACCCCCUGGCCCCAGUCCCACCCUCCCACCCACCCACCCCUGCUCCCCAUCAGG